rnacentral:lncRNA from 1 species
CACAGUGCAGUGGCAGCUCGAGGCCUCUGACCUAGGUGCAUCUGAGACUGCCAUGCAAGGGCAGGCUCCUCUGCUGUUCUUGACGACUCCCUGCUAAACCAUCUGUCAAGUACUGUCCUCCUACCUGAACUGCACAGCACGUGCAUCUUAAUAGCUGAUGCUCUGGGAAUUUUGUGUAACUGUAGAAGCAGAGCAUCUAAAUUACAUCCUAUACCUGUGAUGCUAGGUGUGCGAGGAUGCGAAGCUUAGGGCCAUACAUUUUUGAGAAUCCUUUCUUCUAAGUUGAUCACCAUUUAGUAACAGUAUGUAUGGAAAAAAAUAUCUCUACUGCAAAGAAGAAAUAUAAUUCUACAUGCUUUGUAUUUUAAAUACUUAGAAAGGUUGUUUUUAGGUGUUUUUUUUCUCUUUAAUUGAUCUGCAGCAGCAAUCACUCAUAUUUUGUAUUGUUCUUGAUGUUU